rnacentral:rRNA from 2 species
UGCCUACGGGGGGCUGCAGUGGGGAAUAUUGGGCAAUGGGGGAAACCCUGACCCAGCAACGCCGCGUGAGGGAAGAAGGUCUUCGGAUCGUAAACCUCUGUCCUUGGUGAAGAGUUCGAGACGGUAGCCAAGGAGGAAGCCCCGGCUAACUACGUGCCAGCAGCCGCGGUAAUACGUAGGGGGCAAGCGUUGUCCGGAAUGAUUGGGCGUAAAGGGCGCGUAGGCGGCCUGUUAGGGCUGGAGUGAAAGUCCUGCUUUCAAGGUGGGAAUUGCUUUGGAAACUGGCGGGCUGGAGUGCAGGAGAGGUUAGCGGAAUUCCCGGUGUAGCGGUGAAAUGCGUAGAGAUCGGGAGGAACACCAGUGGCGAAGGCGGCUAACUGGACUGUAACUGACGCUGAGGCGCGAAAGUGUGGGGAGCAAACAGGAUUAGAUACCCUGGUAGUCA